AGCUUGCUCUUAUGAAGUUAGCGGCGGACGGGUGAGUAACACGUGGGUAACCUACCCAUAAGACUGGGAUAACUCCGGGAAACCGGGGCUAAUACCGGAUAAUAUUUUGAACUGCAUAGUUCGAAAUUGAAAGGCGGCUUCGGCUGUCACUUAUGGAUGGACCCGCGUCGCAUUAGCUAGUUGGUGAGGUAACGGCUCACCAAGGCAACGAUGCGUAGCCGACCUGAGAGGGUGAUCGGCCACACUGGGACUGAGACACGGCCCAGACUCCUACGGGAGGCAGCAGUAGGGAAUCUUCCGCAAUGGACGAAAGUCUGACGGAGCAACGCCGCGUGAGUGAUGAAGGCUUUCGGGUCGUAAAACUCUGUUGUUAGGGAAGAACAAGUGCUAGUUGAAUAAGCUGGCACCUUGACGGUACCUAACCAGAAAGCCACGGCUAACUACGUGCCAGCAGCCGCGGUAAUACGUAGGUGGCAAGCGUUAUCCGGAAUUAUUGGGCGUAAAGCGCGCGCAGGUGGUUUCUUAAGUCUGAUGUGAAAGCCCACGGCUCAACCGUGGAGGGUCAUUGGAAACUGGGAGACUUGAGUGCAGAAGAGGAAAGUGGAAUUCCAUGUGUAGCGGUGAAAUGCGUAGAGAUAUGGAGGA
rnacentral:rRNA from 1 species